AGCGAACGCUGUCUGCAGGACUCACACAUGCAAGUCGAACGAGUGGCGGACGGGUGAAUAGUGUCUGGGAAACUGCCUGAUGGAGGGGGAUAACUACUGGAAACGGUGGCUAAUACCGCAUACCAUCAAAUUUGCCCAGAUGGGAUUAGCUUGUUGGUGGGGUAACGGCAAACCAAGGGGACGAUCCCUAGCUGGUCUGUGAGGGUGACCCGCCACACUGGAACUGAGACACGGUCCAGACUCCUACGGGAGGCAGCAGUGGGGAAUAUUGCACAAUGGGCGAAAGCCUGAUGCAGCCAUGCCGCGUGUAUGAAGAAGGCCUUCGGGUUGUAAAGUACUUUCAGCGGGGAGGCGUUACCCGCAGAAGAAGCACCGGCUAACUCCGUGCCAGCAGCCGCGGUAAUUC
rnacentral:rRNA from 1 species